AAACCUUCAACAACGGAUCUCUUGGUUCUGGCAUCGAUGAAGAACGCAGCGAAAUGCGAUAAGUAAUGUGAAUUGCAGAAUUACGUGAAUCAUCGAAUCUUUGAACGCACAUUGCGCCCGCCAGUAUUCUGGCGGGCAUGCCUGUUCGAGCGUCAUUU
rnacentral:rRNA from 1 species